AUCCCCACAAACUUUUUCUCCCCCAAAAAUCUUCAAUCUCUCCCUUUCUUUUCUCUCUAUCUCUCCCAGAUUCAUAACCAUCUUUCCCAUGCCUUAGCCUUCUUCAUCCACCCCUUUUUAAUCAUUUUUGUGUGUGAGAAGAAAAGUUGAUAUAAAUAAAGGCGCUCACGUGGCGUGUUUUAUAAAAAACAGAUAUGAACACGAGUACUAUGAUGAACCAGCACCACAGAGGAGUACCGCCAAACAAGCGAAAAGAUAGGGAAUAUCAGAAGCCGUCCAAGUUCAUCAAGCCGAGCCCACACCAACGAGCCACGGCUAACACAGUGAGUAACAACAAGAAGGAGUCAUCGGCUGCGGCUUCAACGAAUCAGCUCGUAGCCGGGUACAUGGCUCAUGAGUUUUUAAGCAAGGGGACAUUGUUGGGGCAGCCGUGGCAGCAGAUAGCCAAGCCAGGGUGGUCGGCUGAGCCGAAUAAAAUGAGAAGGCAUGAAAAGUACGUGGAAAUAGCGGGUCUUUUGAAGAGAGAUGGUGGGGUCCAGAUACCCGGUGUUUUUAACCCGACCCAAGUGAACCCGUUUUCACAGCUGUAGUGACUAGUGAUGUGGGGUGUACUACACGUGGAGGCUUGUCAUUGGAUCUUGUUUUUGUUUAGAUGAGAAAAUGAAAUGCAUGACAAUAGACAUAUGAUUUGAACUCUUUAAUGAAAAAUUGGUCUCCACCGUGUUUGAUGUUA